AAAUAAAAAUGGCGGAUUUUAUGUCCAGCAAAUACUACUCAGAAUCUAAAGUUUUAAAGCUAAAACUCAUCCUAGAAAUUUUUUGAAGAAGACCUAGUGGUAUAGAAAUUGCUGAAGACGCUAAUUGUAUUAAUUGUAAUUGAAAUCUUUUACUGGAAGUGAGUAAGAUUCCUGCAGAUGUACAGGCUAAAGGUGGUCCUCUUAGUAUCAGUGGAGAGGUAGCUCAUACCAUCAAUCUCAGUGGACUGAGGGAAGUGUGUAUUAGGAGAGUGGAUAAAGAUGAAGUGACACUUGAUUUGGUUGAAUUCAUAUUUAAAGUGAGUUAUGAGUUUG